CCCAGGAUAGCUCAGUCGGUAAAGCAUGAGACUCUUACUCUCAGGUUCGUGGGUUCGAGCCCCCUGUUGGGC